rnacentral:rRNA from 1 species
CCUACGGGAGGCAGCAGUGGGGAAUAUUGGACAAUGGGGGGAACCCUGAUCCAGCGACGCCGCGUGAGUGAAGAAGUAUUUCGGUAUGUAAAGCUCUAUCAGCAGGGAAGAAAGAAAUGACGGUACCUGACUAAGAAGCCCCGGCUAACUACGUGCCAGCAGCCGCGGUAAUACGUAGGGGGCAAGCGUUAUCCGGAUUUACUGGGUGUAAAGGGGGCGUAGACGGCGAUGCAAGUCUGAAGUGAAAGGCGGGGGCCCAACCUCCGGACUGCUUUGGAAACUGUAUGGCUGGAGUGCAGGAGAGGUAAGUGGAAUUCCUAGUGUAGCGGUGAAAUGCGUAGAUAUUAGGAGGAACACCAGUGGCGAAGGCGGCUUACUGGACUGUAACUGACGUUGAGGCUCGAAAGCGUGGGGAGCAAACAGGAUUAGAUACCCCGGUAGUC